UAUAUAUAUAUAUACAUUUAGUUACCUUGAGAUUAAAUUUAUCUUUUGCAGACUUUGUUUGUCAGAGAUAUGUGUACAUGAAUAUAUAUAUUCAUAUGCGCAAAAACACAUAUAUGGUAUGUAUAUAUCUACAAAUAGUAUUGAAUGGGAGAAGAUAUUAAGUGAAAGGCAUUUUUCAUGCAGCGUGUCGCAUUAAAGAAGGGAAAAAAUAAGAUGUAUAUCGAAUCUUUUGGGUUCUUGAGUGAUAUAUUGUAUGAUCUGUUGUUUUGUUUAAUAAUUGUUCGCGUUUGACGAAAGUUCGUAGAUCCUUUUCUGUCUAAGAUUUGAAGUGGAGAAACUGCAGAAGAAUGCGGCGAUGCAACGGGAUUAUAACGAUAUGCGGUCAAAUUAUAUUAUGUAUAUUAUAUUCCAGCUAUGUGCCGGAUGCGCACUCAGAAAUCGUUUCUGUUUUCUUUUUCUUUUCACGUUCGAAUUAUCGAUCAGAGUUUACGCCGCUCUCUAAAUUGGACGUGUGAUCAUGGAAUUUUAUUUAUCAUUAUUUAUCGGAUUGUGUAAAUUAUUGAUGGAAUUUGAACACUGGAUGUUCUGCGUUAUUCUUGGACCGAAUCAUUUUGUUGUGUAUACAUGAUAUAUGUUGCAGAGACGUUUGUAUGUGUAAAUACAUUCUUUAUUUUCUUCUUUUUAUCGAAGCAAUCGAAACGGAAUCGCGUGCACACGGCCGCAUUCUUCAUCUCUCUUCCGAGGAAGGAUGAAACGAAACUCGGAGGUAUAAAUUUAUCAUCGUCCGUGCGGAGCCGUUUUUCCCCCCGAAUACGCGAGGGGAGCAUUUUUCUGCGAUUUCUACCUUCUCACAUAUACAGCGAGAGAAGGAACUUCUCCGUCACAGCGUAAACUGUCACUGCUGCUAUUUAUUCAGCGAUUCAACGAGACUUGCUUAAAUCUACUAACAUUAAUAUUAUAUUAAUAAUCAUUUGUUGAAUAUUGUAUAAAAUUUUUUUGUUGAAAUUUUGUAAUUCGUUUAGUAUUACAGCAGGAUGAUCUGCGAUACGAUACGCGACAAACUCCAGAAGUAUCAGAUGUUGUUGAUGCAGCAAAAGUGCCUCGAGAACAUGAUAUAAUUAUUCCGCAAUAUCGUAAUUAAAAUGACAAAAUCGCAGAAAGCUAUUUCUAUCGGGCAGAAUCGGCGUCUUCCUCGGCAAGUCUUUUCACUAUUCGUAAUAUAACAACUAACGAAACUCACCGGCGACAGUGACAAAUUCAGCCGUGUCGGCGAUUUCUUUUUCUCCGUGCAGUUUCCCAAGAUGAGGCAGUAACCAAGCGGCGAGCGAUUCGUGGACUCGUAUAAUAACUUCCCGACUGCUUCCACACUCCGCCUGCUCGAGCGUACGCGUUUUACGGCUUACACCCUCGUGACCUAAAACUCCAAAAAAAAAUGGGAAAAACGAGGAAAGAAAGGAGGAACACAUACAGACACAUCCUAGACGCGAGAGAUAGGUAAAAAUAGGUUUGCACAAAAAACUUUCACACACAUACACGCACACAUAACAUAUAUACACAAACACACACACACGCGGUGGGUCGAGACUUUCAUAUUCGGCUGCGGUACGAUUCCAGUGUUUCUCUGUUUCUAGUUGUUGAAUGUAUUAGAGAUAAGACUCGAUCACAGCAAUAGAGCAAAACCCCAUCCCUCCCACCCUUCCAGUUGUGUUUGUCAUUUUCACAGUUCCGCGUGUAAGAUCCGCUGACGCUAAAUAGAGCUUUAUCGCACGUUCCCACCAAAGUGAUUGUCGUUUCGCGAUAUUGCGAAAUCUUGAGAGUGAGAAGAGCGCAUCUUGUAACAGAAAAGAAAAAGAAAGAAGAGAAUGGAAAACCGUUUGGUAUCGUGACCGACAAGAGGGUUUCAGACGUAAACAAAAAACCCGACAAGUGCGAUACAAUGUAGCAUACGUUGAUUGUGCGUGCCGGAUUGUUGAGCUAAUCGGCUUAGUCGCGAGCAAUGAGCGCAUUUCGCAUGAAGUCUCGAAGUCUUAGAAUGCUGUACGGUAAAGCAUUAACUGUUUGGACGCCGAUUAUCCUGAAUAGUGAAUCUCUUGGACGAUCGAUAUCAGCAAA